UACGUAGGUGGCAAGCGUUGUCCGGAAUUAUUGGGCGUAAAGCGCGCGCAGGCGGUCUUUUAAGUCUGAUGUGAAAGCCCCCGGCUCAACCGGGGAGAGUCAGUGGAAACUGGGAGACUUGAGUACAGAAGAGGAGAGUGGAAUUCCACGUGUAGCGGUGAAAUGCGUAGAGAUGUGGAGGAACACCAGUGGCGAAGGCGACUCUCUGGUCUGUAACUGACGCUGAGGCGCGAAAGCGUGGGGAGCAAACAGG
rnacentral:rRNA from 1 species